rnacentral:lncRNA from 1 species
UUAGCUUUUGGAUAUAUAGUUUUUAUAUUUCAGGUAAAAUAUAAUUAUUUAAAUUUAGCUACCAGAUUUUUAAAAAUUUUAUUUUAUUAUCUAAUUUUUUAUUUGUUUGAUUUGAGUCAGUUAAUAAUAUUUUGACUUUAAAAUUUAAUAAAUUUAUAGUUAUGAGAAUCGUAUAAAAUAUACUAAGUAAAUCUGUCAUAAUAAACAAUCAAUUUAAAAUUAAAAGCCAAAAUAUUAUCGACUGAUUCAAAUCAAACAAAUUUAAAAAUUUAAUAGCAAAAUCUAAAUAAUCGGUAGUUCAAAUAAGUUUCUUGCAAUUUUAAUUAUAUUUUAUAGCAUUUAGCCUUUGAACUUUCAAAUUUUAGUUUUAUUUUGACG